CACAUUUCCGAAAUCACUGCCAAGGGAGAGCUGGCUUCCCCGCGCCGCGACGCCUGCGAGGCCUAGACAAGGUGCGUUGCUUUAAAUUACACCACCAACCACUUCCUGAAGAUUUUGACUUGACGGUCGGUGAGGUUGAGCAUGCGAGACAGCUGCAGGCGCUUCUCUUUGUUGAUGUACACGCUGAAGAAGAACUCCCGCUCCAGCUCCCGGAUCUGGUACUUGGUGUAGGGGCAGCGCUUUUUUCGGGAUGCCCAACAGCCGAGCUGAGCCCACUCGGCUCAGGGAAAGACCCGACGGGGGGCUAAGGCAGCCCUGGAAGGCCAAGUCCGAAUUGCAUUUCUUGAAGAGGCUGAGACGGGCAAGGCUGUGACAUUGGCCCUGGCGACUGGUUUCCCAUGAGCUGUUCUUUCUCAGGAGCUCCAUAGCGCAGGGCCAUCUCCAGAAAACAGUCUUCAGCGUGUAUUUCCUCUUAUCGUCAACCCGGAGUCCCACGGCAGCUAAUGCAAGAGGCCAAAAAUGUUUUGGAGGAAGAAAAACAAAGGCAGGAAGUGGCGGCAGCCUGACGGUGCGUGUGUUUCUGCGGAGAAGGGAGGGAGCCGUUUCAAUCUCUUGUUGUUUUUCCAAAUUUCAAGGUCCAGUCAGCCUUCGCAGGGCCGGCUUCGUCGCUCCGCGCGCAGCAUUUGGAGAUGGCCACCCGGAAAGGAGAAGGCUGGCGCCCGCGCCAGCCUUAUUAAACGGAAACGGCUAACGAAGCGACUUGCUCAGCAAAGCAGACCAAGCCUUUCCAAGGCUUCGUUUGAUUUGGCCCUAAAGGUGGGGUGGGGGUUGGGGGGUUCUGCAGCGCCUCCCGACCCUCCUCACGCGAGCUGAAUGCGCCCUGGCGGGAGGAUUCGUGCGCCCUGCGCUCCACGCGCCUUCCCAGGCGGGAUAUCGGAAUAAAGUGUGUCCAGGUGCCUCUGCCCAGCA